GGCGUGUUGCCAGAGUGGUUAAUGGGUAAGACUUGAAUGCUACAAUUCAGUUAUCUUAUGGUUUCGGCCUCGUAGGUUCAAAUCCUGCACACGUCG